GGGCCCAUAGCUCAAUUGGUUAGAGUCCCCGGCUCAUAACCGGGUAGUUCCUGGUUCGAGUCCAGGUGGGCCUACCA
rnacentral:tRNA from 1 species